GUCUACGGCUAUGCCACCCUGAACAUGCCCAAUCUCGUCUGAUCUCUGAAGCGAAGCAGGAUCGGGCCUGGUUAGUACUUGGAUGGGAGACCACCUAGGAAUACCGAGUGCUGUAUGCA
rfam:Pteropus alecto contig81666, whole genome shotgun sequence.